rnacentral:rRNA from 1 species
GUAGGGAAUCUUCCGCAAUGGACGAAAGUCUGACGGAGCAACGCCGCGUGAGUGAGGAAGGUCUUCGGAUCGUAAAGCUCUGUUGCCAAGGAAGAACGCUCGGGAGAGUAACUGCUCUCGAGGUGACGGUACUUGAGAAGAAAGCCCCGGCUAACUACGUGCCAGCAGCCGCGGUAAUACGUAGGGGGCAAGCGUUGUCCGGAAUUAUUGGGCGUAAAGCGCGCGCAGGCGGUCUUUUAAGUCUGGGGUUUAAUUGCAGGGCUCAACCCUGUAACGCCUUGGAAACUGGGAGACUGGAGUGUAGGAGAGGAAAGUGGAAUUCCACGUGUAGCGGUGAAAUGCGUAGAGAUGUGGAGGAACACCAGUGGCGAAGGCGACUUUCUGGCCUAUAACUGACGCUGAGGCGCGAAAGCGUGGGGAGCAAACAGGAUUAGAAACCCUGGUAGUCC